rnacentral:lncRNA from 1 species
CUGCCUACCGGGAGCUGACGGACGACGACUGCCAACACCUUAGCCCCAGCUGGCCCAGGAAACUGCUGCGGUGGCAGGUGGCGGCGGCAGGAGGGCUCGGCUGCCCCGAGCGCCCGCCAGGCUUCUGCCCUAAGAAGAUGGCCUACUAUGGAAAAUGCAUUGAAACUGUGAUCGAGCAACUCGACAAAUUUACACCCAAGAGGGACAACCCUGAGCAGUUCCUGGAGGCUGCGGCCACCUCCCUGCAGCUGACCGUGUUUUCCACAGAGACCUGCUCUUCGUAUGGGGAGGUGCUCCUGGCACCCAGAAUGUGUGUCAGGCCAGGCUCUGGUGAAAGAAGCCUUGGCCGGGACCCGGGAUAUGACAUCCACACUGCGGUUCCAUCCUCAGUCAACACAGAUGAGAAGGGUCAGCCCUGGAGCGCCCCCAUGCCCCACCCCCACUUUGGGGGGCAUCUUAUCUCGGGAAAUGGGUCCUCCAUCCCCCAGGCGCCCCAGGGCUGUGGCAGUGAGGGUGCGCAAGGCCACAACUUGUGCUGUAUUUGUGGUAACCGAGACUUGGGAAUCACUGACUGGGUCUCCGACAGAGGCAGGGGCUGGCCUGGGCAGUGAGGCUCCCGGGGAGCCGAGGGCUGCAGGCUUCUGUACACACCUCCUUCAUCUUCCUACCCACACCUGGAAGAAGUCACAGGCCCACCUGGAGGCUGCCCAACUCCUCAGCUCCUGUCCUCCCAUCCCUGGGUUUUCCUCACAGCUCCAUCCUGGUCCUGGCACCCCCUGCAACCUCGGCAGCCCUGCCCCACUCAGGGGCCUCCCUGUCACCUGGUCUCAGCUCCCACCACGAGGUGCUGAUCUCACAUCCACCACCUGUCAGUGGCAUGUGCCUGGGGAACAGGAGCUUGGAUUGCAGGGCCCCUGCCUCUAGGAAUGUGGGACUUGGUCUCCAUUGGAUGGGGCCUCCAGAGGAAGCUGAGCCCACCAGGGGAAAUCCUGGGGGGCUGUCACAUGGGCCAUCACCAACCCAUCAUUGCCCAGGAGCAGGGAGCGGGCACUCGCCCCCUGGAAAGAGGGCGCUCAUAGCAAGUGUGCUAAUUCAGGCUGCCUGCCUGUCCUUGCAGGCCACAGCCCUCUGUGCCGCUGUGCUCUGGAUGAACUUGGCCUAUGUGCGCUGCUUUUCUGCACGGCCCCUGGGGGCUGCCCUGGCCAUGCUCCAGCUCCCGCUCUCACUACCUGCUCAGGUGCACCUGUGCUGUUCCCCCAGGCCACAGUCUGAGCCCACCUUCCCUUGGGGUAGAAUGAGGGGUUCAUCCUUCAUUAGCUACCUCUGGGGCAGCCUCAAGAAAGCCCAGAGGGGAGGUGGUGUGAGUGGGUUACAAAGGCUACAGGGGUUGGGGCCAAGGCCUCUGCCGUAAGAGAAGGCCUGGGGCCCCCACCCAUCCCUGCUCCCAGCUUCUGGAAGAGGCGCCUCCUCCGGCUGGGGCCUGGCAGCCAGCAGGGGCUGGAGAGGGGAGCAGGGCCUGUGUGCAGAGCUGCAGGCCUCCGUGGGCACCUCUCCCUCCACUUCAGCACCCUCUGGCCCCCAGCUCUUUCCCUGAGCCCCUGAGCACUGUGGGGAAGUGAUGCAAACAGCUCGGGCCCAGGUUCAUCCACACUCCUCUUCCCAGCUAAGGCCUCAGCACGACGGGCACACCUCUCAUCCCGCCGGCCUGCCCUCGCCUUGCACGUCCAAAACAGACAAUAGCGAAGGCCCAGGUCCCCUUGGCCAGAAGCCCGUCCUGGGAGCUGGCGUCACCCACCCCACUGCCUGGGCCCACCUGUAGCCCGGCCCCUCUGGCCAGCCCAAGAGCAGCUCCAGCAGCUCCUCCUAUCCGUCCCCCUCAUUUCCCUCAGGAUCUUUCCCGUCAGCCACCCGUGCUGCUACGUCUCUCACCCUAAAAACAUUUUUUUUAAGUCCUCUGUACUCCCCUGAGGCUCCCGCGGUCCUUCCCUUCUAUCUAACAGAUUCCUCGAAGUCCCUGCCACCAGCGGCAGCUCUUCCUCCAUCCUCCCUCACACCCCUCCCUGCGGACUUCCCCCACCCCUCCACCCACAGCGCCAGUCUGGGUCACCCCGCACCCCCUUGUUGCCAAAUCCAGUGGGGCAGCCUCAGCUCCUCUGACCCAGCUGACCCCGCCCCCAGCUCCGGGGCCUUCCGAUCAGCUUCCUGGGUACCCCCUGCGCCAGGCCUGCAUCUCACCUGGCAGCCACUCCUUCUCAGGCUCGGGCCUCCCCUGUCGGGUGUGCGGGGUGCACGGGCUCAGCGGCUGCUCUCUGCUCUCUUUGCUAUACACACUCCUGGUCCCCUCGCCUGCUGACAGCUCCUGCUCCUCCCUCCAUCCUUGACCUCUCCCGAGCCUGGACUCACAUCUCCUUGGGUGUCCAGUGGGCACCUCCCGUGUGACACGUCAGUAGAUGAAUGAAUCCAUGUGACCUCCCCCAGAGCUGCUGAUCCGGGCAUCCCCAGUUCAGCCGGCAGCCGCUCCGUCUCCCCUUGCUCCAGUGGGAACCCUGGCGCCUCCUGGGCACCCCCAUUCCUCUAGACCACAUCUGUUCAUCAUCAGCUCUGCCUUCGACUCUGCCAUGUGUGCACUCUGCUCCAGCUGCACUGGUCUCCUAGUGUUUCUGGAACAUUCCACGCGCUCCCCACUGCACUAGCUGUUGCCUCCACCUGGGAAACUUUCCCCCUGAUGCUGUCUUGGCCUGCGCAGCCACAUAGCACCUUGGCAGGGAAAGGGGUGUGUGUUUACCCCUU